GUUUGAAGUUAUAGGUGAGACCAGUAAAUUGAGUGAAUGUGCUGGGUAGGUAUGAAAUCAGGGGAGGGAGAAGCCAUGUAAUCCUUUCCUUUGCAAUUAGAGCUGCAAAAUAACCCCGGGGCCAGAGCACUUGCGCAAGGAGCAAUUAGACAAGCUAGACAGUGGGAAAAGCUAAAAAUAGUAAACAAUCUGCCUCCAGAAAAAUACCUCGAAUCAUUAGAAAAGGAUGUUUUAUGAAUUUCCUGAGAAUCAGUUACUGCUUUUAUAUUUUCAUAGUGUUCUGCUAGAAGAGCUAUAUUCUAACUGUUAUUUGACAGAGGUAAACAUGAAUAACCCAAGUCUCUUCUUACAUGAGACACCGAAAAAAGCUGAGUAAGUCCUGAGAUUUUUCAUAUCUAACCAACUGAAAUUGGGGGAAACGAAUUGGUUCAUAUUGACCUGAGGCAAAAUAUGCCUUAGUGCUCUGUUAAGAAAAGCAGUCUAAUAAUUUGCAGGUAAAAAAUGAUUUAUUUAAUGAUAUUAUUUAAUGACUCAACCCAGUUUUCUUUAAAAAAGGAUGUAUGAAUCAAUGAUAUUUGUCCAUUAGCUGAAUCCAAACUAUUAUAAAAACUGUCCUUUUAGAAAGUAUAUUAUUUGUGAAAGGAUGACAACUGCUGACUUAUUUUGCAGCACUCCUGAGCCGGAUGAAAUGUAAAAACAAAAAGGCUAAUCAGAGCAGGAUAUUUUUAGUCCUUUGCAGGGAACUAUAUAUGAUGCUAUUAAUUAAGAAUGACUCUUAAGGGAUGGUUUGACUGUUUCUUGCAGAGAAAUUAAAUUUCUGAUGCAAAGUUUUAAAUGUAAAAAAACUCAGACCUGAGGCUUGCAAGCAGAAAAAGUAUGUUCAGAAUUAGCUGUUUAUUAAUACAGGUAAGAAAGGGGUUACAGGUUGCUAUGAUUUUUUUUGUUGGUAACUUGUGUAAUACUGUAUGAAAAAUGUUGUGAACAGUAAAUUACAUUCUGUUCUGUCUUUUCUAUCUACAGGAGAUAAUUCAAGAGGAAAAAACCUGUAUGAGAUGAAACAGCAAACUCUGUGGGUAUCUGUGUGCACAUACACGUGUGUAUGCAUGUACUGUUGCUGGCACGCUUGUUUCCAAGUGGAAGUUUCAGUGAUGGAUGACUUAACAUAAACUGUAAGUGUAUGGCAGACUGAUUUGCUGUGGUGCCUGCUGCUUAUUUCAUGAGCUGCUCUUUCCCACCCCAAGCAAGCGUAACGUGUUGCAGUGCUGUCAGCACCCCACCAGCCUCAUGACGGGGACGCACUGUUGAAAUUCCAGGAGCUCUUUUCCCGCCGCUGACUUGGAGCCGAAGCGACUUUGGUGGUGAAGAGGCUGCGUGGGGGCCGGCCGGGCUCUUGGGGUGCUGCGCAGUAGUGGGAGGCAUUGGUGGCCCUGAGUUCCUGCGGGUGUUGAACACCCGAAGGGUCUCGGGCAGCGUUGCAUCCACGUGUGUCACGUGCAUCCGGGCGCGUGAGCGCGGUGGGUGUUUGUUCGUCUGGCUGCCGGACACGUGGUGACCGGGGCCGGGGAGGGCGGCUCUGGGGCUGCUUGAGUUGCCGAGAUCCAUCCCAUCCCUACGGCUCUGUGCAGUCCCCUGGCCCCUGUGAAACUGUGCACGAAGUUUCUUCGAAAUAUGAAUUUAAUAUGCUUUCAGACUUGACAGCCUCCUUUUAAAUGAAAACAUUUAUAUUGAGCGAAAGGCACGUUUGCCUCUCCAAAUAAAUGGAAUUACGGUUCCAAGAUCUGACUUAAUCCUGAAGUUCUUAUGUCGUACAGUAAGUAGAAAAGAAAGAGGAUUGCUCGGAGGAGCAGGGGUUAGCAGGAUCAGGCUCCACUUUAUAUCAUCUUGCUUGUUUUCCUUCUUGUAUUUAAUAUACCUUUUUCAGAACUCCCACUCCCUGCUUAUAACAAAGUCAAAGUAACUUGACAUCUAUUAACUAACGACAAACUAAUAACUGAAAAUAAUGACGGAUAGUACAGAGAGUGCCCGUCCAGCUUUCCUGCUAGGAAAAUUUGAGGGUUGUUAAACAAACCAAAAAUGCUGUUCUCCCAGAUGUAUUUUUAUCAUAAAGUGAUGUGCUUUUUAAAUUCAUUUCAGGACUUUUGUCAAAUGCAUUGUAACUAUUUGUUCUUUUUCUAUAUUGUUUUCUUUGUGAAACUGUAUUUCAAAUCUGCAUUGACAUUUCAAAGGAUUUGAGGGAAGAUGUUUACAAAGUAAUGGUUCCAUUUGUAUUUGUUAUAUUUCUAAAAAUGCAAUUUUUCAUCAGAUAACAUUAAAAUAUUUUUGUAUUAGU